rnacentral:rRNA from 1 species
AACGAACGCUAGCGGCAGGCUUAAUACAUGCAAGUCGAGGGGCAGCAGUCCCGCAGCAAUGCGGGAGCUGGCGACCGGCAAACGGGUGCGGAACACGUACAGAACCUUCCUUCGAGCGGGGAAUAGCCCAGAGAAAUUUGGAUUAAUACCCCAUAGCAUUACGAAGUGGCAUCACUUUGUAAUUAAAGAUUUAUCACUCGAAGAUGGCUGUGCGGCUGAUUAGGUAGUUGGCGGAGUAACGGCCCACCAAGCCUUCGAUCAGUAACUGGUGUGAGAGCACGACCAGUCACACGGGCACUGAGACACGGGCCCACUCCUACGGGAGGCAGCAGUAAGGAAUAUUGGUCAAUGGACGAAAGUCUGAACCAGCCAUGCCGCGUGGAGGAUGAAGGUCCUCUGGAUUGU